rnacentral:piRNA from 1 species
UACAUUAAUAAUUUGGACAAA